rnacentral:rRNA from 1 species
GCUUACGGCCACACCAGCCUGGUUCACGCCGAUCUCGUUUGAUCUCGGAAGCUAAGAUAGGUUGGGCCUGGUUAGUACUUGGAUGGGAGACCGCUGGGAAUACCAGGUGCUGUAAACU